CCUANGGGGGGCAGCAGUAGGGAAUAUUGGGCAAUGGGCGAAAGCCUGACCCAGCAACGCCGCGUGCACGAUGAAGGCCUUCGGGUCGUAAAGUGCUUUUCUGAGGGAUGAGUAAGGACAGUACCUCAGGAAUAAGCCUCGGCUAACUACGUGCCAGCAGCCGCGGUAAAACGUAGGAGGCGAGCGUUAUCCGGAUUUACUGGGCGUAAAGCGUGUGUAGGCGGUUCGGCAAGUUGGAUGUGAAAGCUCCUGGCUUAACUAGGAGAGGUCGUUCAAUACUACCGAACUUGAGGGUAUCAGAGGAAGGUGGAAUUCCCGGUGUAGUGGUGAAAUGCGUAGAUAUCGGGAGGAACACCAGUGGCGAAAGCGGCCUUCUGGGAUAUUCCUGACGCUCAGACACGAAAGCUAGGGUAGCAAACGGGAUUAGAUACCCUGNUANUC
rnacentral:rRNA from 1 species